rnacentral:misc_RNA from 1 species
GCACCUACCGAUUGAAUGGUCCGGUGAAGCCUCGGGAUUGUGGCGAGUUCCCUUUAUUGGGAGUUUGUCGCGAGAACUUGUCUAAACCUUAUCAUUUAGAGGAAGGUGAAGUCGUAACAAGGUUUCCGUAGGUGAACCUGCAGAAGGAUCCA